GGCCCCAUCGUCUAACGGUUAGGACGUCAGGUUCUCAACCUGGCAAUCAGGGUUCGAUUCCCUGUGGGGUCACCA
rnacentral:tRNA from 1 species